rnacentral:rRNA from 1 species
UGGGGAAUUUUGGACAAUGGGCGCAAGCCUGAUCCAGCCAUGCCGCGUGCGGGAAGAAGGCCUUCGGGUUGUAAACCGCUCUUGUCAGGGAAGAAAUCUUCUGAGUUAAUACCUCGGGAGGAUGACGGUACCUGAAGAAUAAGCACCGGCUAACUACGUGCCAGCAGCCGCGGUAAUACGUAGGGUGCAAGUGUUAAUCGGAAUUACUGGGCGUAAAGCGUGCGCAGGCGGUUUUGUAAGACAGAGGUGAAAUCCCCGGGCUCAACCUGGGAACUGCCUUUGUGACUGCAAGGCUUGAGUGCGGCAGAGGGGGAUGGAAUUCCGCGUGUAGCAGUGAAAUGCGUAGAUAUGCGGAGGAACACCGAUGGCGAAGGCAAAUCCCCUGGGCCUGCACUGACGCUCAUGCACGAAAGCGUGGGGAGCAAACAGGAUUAGAUACCCUGGUAGUCCACGCCCUAAACGAUGUCAACUGGUUGUUGGGAAGGUUCCUUCUCAGUAACGUAGCUAACGCGUGAAGUUGACCGCCUGGGGAGUACGGCCGCAAGGUUG